rnacentral:rRNA from 1 species
CAAUGUCGAGUGCUAUACAUGCAAGUCGAGCGGACAGAUGGGAGCUUGCUCCCUGAUGUUAGCGGCGGACGGGUGAGUAACACGUGGGUAACCUGCCUGUAAGACUGGGAUAACUCCGGGAAACCGGGGCUAAUACCGGAUGGUUGUCUGAACCGCAUGGUUCAGACAUAAAAGGUGGCUUCGGCUACCACUUACAGAUGGACCCGCGGCGCAUUAGCUAGUUGGUGAGGUAACGGCUCACCAAGGCGACGAUGCGUAGCCGACCUGAGAGGGUGAUCGGCCACACUGGGACUGAGACACGGCCCAGACUCCUACGGGAGGCAGCAGUAGGGAAUCUUCCGCAAUGGACGAAAGUCUGACGGAGCAACGCCGCGUGAGUGAUGAAGGUUUUCGGAUCGUAAAGCUCUGUUGUUAGGGAAGAACAAGUGCCGUUCAAAUAGGGCGGCACCUUGACGGUACCUAACCAGAAAGCCACGGCUAACUACGUGCCAGCAGCCGCGGUAAUACGUAGGUGGCAAGCGUUGUCCGGAAUUAUUGGGCGUAAAGGGCUCGCAGGCGGUUUCUUAAGUCUGAUGUGAAAGCCCCCGGCUCAACCGGGGAGGGUCAUUGGAAACUGGGGAACUUGAGUGCAGAAGAGGAGAGUGGAAUUCCACGUGUAGCGGUGAAAUGCGUAGAGAUGUGGAGGAACACCAGUGGCGAAGGCGACUCUCUGGUCUGUAACUGACGCUGAGGAGCGAAAGCGUGGGGAGCGAACAG